CCUACGGGAGGCAGCAGUGGGGAAUUUUUGGACAAUGGGGGCAACCCUGAUCCAGCCAUGCCGCGUGAGUGAAGAAGGCCUUCGGGUUGUAAAGCUCUUUCGGCCGGAACGAAAUCGCGCACGUGAAUAACGUGCGUGGAUGACGGUACCGGAGUAAGAAGCACCGGCUAACUACGUGCCAGCAGCCGCGGUAAUACGUAGGGUGCGAGCGUUAAUCGGAAUUACUGGGCGUAAAGCGUGCGCAGGCGGUUCGCUAAGUCAGACGUGAAAGCCCCGGGCUUAACCUGGGAACGGCGUUUGAAACUGGCGGGCUCGAGUACGGCAGAGGGGGGUGGAAUUCCACGUGUAGGCAGUGAAAUGCGUAGAUAUGUGGAGGAACACCGAUGGCGAAGGCAGCCCCCUGGGCCGAUACUGACGCUCAUGCACGAAAGCGUGGGGAGCAAACAGGAUUAGAUACCCUGGUAGUCCACGCCCUAAACUAUGUCAACUAGUUGUCGGGGAAGCAAUUCCUUGGUAACGCAGCUAACGCGUGAAGUUGACCGCCUGGGGAGUCGGUCGCGAAGAUUAAACGUUAAAGGAAUUGACGG
rnacentral:rRNA from 1 species